GGACCCGUCUUGAACACGGACCAAGAAGUCUAUCUUGCGCGCAAGCCAAUGGGUAAAUGGUGCGGUACGCCGCCCAUGACUGGAAACCCACAGGCACAGACAAAUCGAGUGUUGCGGGAUUACGGGUACGGCCGAUGGCGCAAGCCUUCGUCGGACCCCUCCAUCCCAGGGUGUCCCGUUCGGGUGCUUGCACCCAGCGGACAUCCCCGGAGUGCGUAGGAUGUGACCCGAAAGAUGGUGAACUAUGCCUGAUCAGGUUGAAGUCAGGGGAAACCCUGAUGGAGGACCGAAGCAAUUCUGACGUGCAAAUCGAUUGUCAGAGUUGGGCAUAGGGGCGAAAGACCAAUCGAACCAUCUAGUAGCUGGUUCCUUCCGA
rnacentral:rRNA from 1 species